AAAUUUGAAAUCUGGUACCUUCGGUGCCCGAGUUGUAAUUUGAAGGUAGUUUUCUGGUGCUGGUCCUUGUCUAUGUUCCUUGGAACAGGACGUCAUAGAGGGUGAGAAUCCCGUCUGAUGGGGAAUCCAGUGCUUUGUAGAUUUCUACCGACGAGUCGAGUUGUUUGGGAAUGCAGCUCUAAGUGGGUGGUAAAUUCCAUCUAAAGCUAAAUAUUGGCGAGAGACCGAUAGCGAACAAGUACAGUGAUGGAAAGAUGAAAAGAACUUUGAAAAGAGAGUGAAAAAGUACGUGAAAUUGUUGAAAGGGAAGGGUAUUAGAUCAGACUUGGUGUUUUGUGAUUAUCUUCCCUUCUUGGGUUGUGCACUCGCAUUUCACUGGGCCAGCAUCGGUUUGGAUGGCAAGAUAAUGGCGAAGGAACGUGGCACUCCUCGGAGUGUGUUAUAGCCUUUGUUGAUGUUGCCUAUCUAGACCGAGGACUGCGGCUUCUGCCUAGGAUGCUGGCGUAAUGAUCUAAUACCGCCC
rnacentral:rRNA from 1 species